AGAGUGCUGGGAUAACAGGCGUGUGCCACCCCACCCAGCCAAUAGGUCAUUUCUUUUUAGCACUAAAUAAUACUCUAUCCUGCAUGUUUUGAAUUGCCUUUUAGAGGUUCAUUUACAGCAUUUUCAUGGUAGCAAAAAAAUCAGAAAUAACCCGAAGUUAUUUAAAGAACUUACAGCACAGUGCACUAUGCAGUCAUCAAAAGAACAGGGAAUCUUUCUAUUCACGAGAAGGGAAGGUGCCCAGAAUUUACUGUUAACUGAGAACAAGUUGGAAAUAGUAUAUUUUGAUUGCCCAAUUUAAGGCAGGAAUACCUGAAACCUUACCUGUUGGUUACUUCUGAUGGGUGAGAUUUUAGGGCAAGUUCACUGUCUAUUGUUUCAUGUCUGCAUCUGUGUGGACAAAAACAAAAAAACAGAUCUGUGUUAGCUGCUUCUCCUCUUGCCCUGCCCCCGUCACAGGUACAUGUACUGGGCAGAUUGGGGUGAGACGCCCUGGAUCGAGCAGGUGGGGAUGGACGACAGCACCCAGAAGAUCAUUGUGGACUUGGACAUUUACUGGCCCAAUAGACUGACCAUCGACCUGGGGGAGAAGAAGCUCUACUGGGCUGACACUAAGCUCGGCUUCAUCCACCGUGCCAACCUGGACGGCUCGUUCCGGCAGAAGGUGGUGAAGGGCAGCCUGACGCACCCCUUCACCCUGACACUCUCCGGGGACACUCUGCACUGGAUGGACUGGCUGACGUGCUCCAUCCAUGCCUGCAACAGGAACACUGCGGGGAAGAGGAACGAGAUCUUGAGCGCCCUCUACUCAGCAUGGAUAUCCAGGUGCUGAGCCAGGAGCAGCAGCCUUUCUAGACAAGAUCUUGCCGCAUUGCCCAGGCUGGUCUCAAACUCCUGGGUUCCAGUGAUCCUCACACCUUGACCUCCCAAAGUGCUGGGGCACAGAUGUGAGCCACCAUGCUUGGCCCUGCAAGUUGCAUAUUUAUCAAUGAAUAACCUGCUCAAAGUCAGCAGUUCUCAGCCUGGGGGCCACGCAGGGUUGGGACAGAGUCCCUGAUGGGGAAAUGCACCAGCUUCUGUGACAGUGGGGCUGUGGCUCUGGGGACAGUGGCCCACCCCCACAGGGACCAGGGAUGGAGAUUUCUGGCUAAGUCAUUACGGAAGGUUAGGACUUUGGGACUCGGGUGGCAGCUGUUCACAGAGCAGGACACAGGAGGGUGGGGCUCUCUGGAGCUGUUUCCUGUUGAGAAAGUCAUGGUCACAAAACCCAUCUACACUUGGGGCAGUGUGAGGGAGGGGGAGGUUCAUUUUGGUUUGUUUGUUGUUCCAGUUAACUCCGUAUUUUGGGGCUGCUACACCCCAGCUUUCCCCUGGUUAGAAUGAGGUGCUGGAAGCAUUAUUGAGUUCCAUUCAAUUGCUGUUGGUCAUAGAAGGGCUUGGGAGAGUGACAAGCUUGGCCAUCCUGGCAAGAGGGACAGUGAUCCUGUGGAAGCUGCAAAGACAAAACAGGCCUUUUGCCCAGGAGCCCACUGUCUCUGGGGUUGCCAUCACUACCAUGCAGGCAGGUCUUGACUCCUGCCAUUUUAGUGUGGGGGGCAGCCUUGCAAAGGGGUGUCCUUAUGGGCCUCGAGGAGCUGGGGAGUGUUUUCUAAUCAUAGGAGCUUGGUGGGAGGGAGCAGGUGGUGAGGAUGCCACUCCAUGGGCAGGUCACAUCUGGGUGUGAGGGUGGCCAGGAAGGUCACGGCUGGUUUUGGGGAAAUUGCAGACCGUCUGGCCAGGCUGAGGGCCCAAUGUGGAGGGGGCCAGCGAUGAGGUAGGUGGAGUGGUGCCUGCGGGGAGGUCCCUGAUGCCACUUGAGGCUGGCGUUUGGGCAGAGGGACACACUAGGGGCUGUCACAGGAGACGAGGCAGGAUGCGACUGAUUCAGAAAUAAGUGAUGGUCCUUUUCUGGAACCUUCUCUCACUCUGUCCUGGUUUUCCCAGUCCACACUCGCUGUGAGGAGGACAAUGGUGGCUGCUCCCACCUGUGUCUGCUGUCCCUAAGGGAGGCUUUCUACAUGUGCGCCUGCCCCAUGGGUGUGCAGCUGCAGGACAACGGCAGGGCAUGUGAGGCCAGUGAGGCAGUGGGACGGGGCGGGGCCUGGCAGCAAUGGGCUGCAGCCAGCGGGGGUGCCCCAGAAGGAGCGUCGGCCAACCCGUUCAAAAUGAUCCACUUGGCGAAUGUGGUGAUUCAAGUCUGUGGUCCCAGCUGCUCAGGAAGCUGAGUUGGGAGGAUCUCUUGAGCCUAGGAGGUCAAUCCUGUUUUGUUUUUGUUUUUUGCUCUAGAUGUUUUCCCACUUUUUUACCCUCCGCCUUGGUCCUCAGGCACUUGGUGCUCCCCAGGACUGUGUUGCAAUGAGGCAUGGCUCUUCUCCUCUGCGGCACCGGCUGAGGAUCUUUCUUUCCAGGUGUCAGGUUCGGGGUGGGCCUUUCGGGAAAUCACACACUUUCAGGAUGCAGCUCGCCUUCGGGGAUGCUCCUGGGCCUGGGGUAGCUGGUUUGGCCUCUGGGGCUGACCCUAGGGCCUGGUGAGCGAGGGGGUAACAAGAGAUGUCAGGAAAGCGCCAUCCCUGAGACCAGGUCUCCCCGUUUCUGUAGCAUGAUGGGGCCCAGCUUGCAGAAGGUGGUGGGGACAGGGCCUGCUUCCUGUGCCAGUGUUCCACUUGGGAGGGCAGGGGGCUUCCAAGUGGGCUGGCUUCCAACUCAGGGACAGUCCUAAGAGGGGGGCAGAGUCUCGGUGUAGGGGCCCCCUAGGAGGACUCUCCUGGCAUCCAGUGGGUGGAGAAAUCUUGCUUACACUGCUGUCUGAGCACAUGGGGUUCCUGACUCUAGGGACAGUUUCCUGGUCCCUCUGCUCUUGCCAGUUAGGGUUUGUAUUUGUGUGCAGCGGCCAGGGAGAGUGUGUGUGGUCGUGGCGUCCGUGGUGGGUGCAUCUUUUCUCUGCUCCCUGGCAGGGGUCUUUCCCUGGCAGGUGAGGACUUUCCACGUUCGUGUCUUUCUCUUUCUGAGAGCAGAGCAUCUUUAAUGAAGACAUGGCUGUUUCAUCAAAGGGUCUGUCCGCUGCACCAGCUACUGCAGGGGACAGUUGGAGAUUCUCCUCCACCAAGCGUCUUGUUUUCCCAAGUGGUGAGAGGGAGAAUUUGAGAAAUGGGGUCUCAGGCAGCCUAGUCCUCAUGGUUCUGGACAGCACCCCAUUCAUUCAUCUGUUUGCUCAUUCAUUCGGUCGUCCAUCCAUUUGCUCGUUCAGCAGGCGUUUGUCGAGCACUUGCCGCGUGCUGAUAUUGCUCCGAGGCACUGGGGAUCCCGCAGUGCAGACAGAAUCCCGGGCCCCUGGUGCUCACACCCUGGGCUCUGGGGCUGGGUGGGUGGGGGAGAUGGCACAAGUGAGUCCACGAGGGAGUCGUGCAUUAGAAAGGGUGAGUGUUUUGGACACCCGCUCCUCCGUUGCCUCUGGGGCCCUUCGCUUUUACCUUUCACCUCAGCCUCAAAGGCAAUGUUGAGAGAGAAACUGGAACCAGGGGAGGAGUCCAGAUGAGCUGCCUCGUGAGUGACCCAGUGACACCAGGGGUUUGGACCAAGCAGGUUAAGGGUGGAUUAUAGACCCUUGAUGGGGAGAAGUAGCUUGACCAGGUUGGAUCAGCCCCUCAUUUACUGAGGAGGCUGAGGGCAAGUCACCGGCCUGGGGUUGCCCAUAGCAGGUGGCAUAGUAGGUUCUAGCAGGUAGCAUGGUAGGUUCUAGCAGGUGGCAUAGUAAGUUCUAGCAGGUGGGGUCUGGCUCCCAGAGGCAUGAGUUUGCUGCUGCCCCAUGCCUGGGCCCUGGUGGAGCAAAGCCCUGGUCUCCCUUGCAGACUGCCUCAGGACCCUGCCCGCUCCCCGGAGGAAGGGGUGCCUCGGCCACACAAGCCUUAGCGGAGAAGGAUGCUUGGCCUGCCGGCUGCCUGGGAACCUUGGCCUUCUCAGAGUUUGUUUUCUCUCCUUCCUGUCUGUCUGUUGGUGAGAAGAGGCUGAACUCAGUGCCGGAGCUGGACCCUGCGUUCAGCAGUGUGUCGGUCAAAGUCCUGUUGGAAAGGGAAAGAGUGAGGACAUAGGGGCUCAUGAUGGCAGGGAGUGGCCACCACAGUCAGGCCCGGGGGAUGGAGGGGAGAGAGCAUCACUGGAACGUGGCAUGGGUUUAAAACAGACAGCUUGGCCAGGCGCGGUGGCUCACGCCUGUAAUCCCAACAAUUUGGGAGGUCGAGGCGGGUGGAUCAUUUGAGGUCCGGAGUUCAAGACCAGCCUGGCCAACAUGGUGAAACCCUGUCUCUACUAAAAAUACAAAAGUUAGCCUGGCAGUAGUGAUGCGGGCCUAUAAUCCCAGCUACUUGGGAGACUGAGGCAGGAGAAUUGCUUGAGCCUGGGAGGCAGAGGUUGCAGUGAGCUGAGAUCGUGCCACUGUACUCCAGCCUGGGAGACAGAAUGAGACCCUGUCUCAAAAAAAAAAAAAAAAAAAAAAACCAACAACAACAAACAGGCAGCUCAUCCUGGCCAAUCUGAAAAAGGUGGAGCAUAUACGUUCCCCAAUAUUCACAAAUAUUUCAUAAAAUAUCCGAGAAGAAAGCAGUUAAUGAGAUGGGCCUGUUCCCCUGCCCUGAGGCGCACGUGUGAUGGGGGCCAUGUCAGGAAGCAUGCCGGCACGCAGAUGGACAUAGUCAGGACAGACCUGGAUCUGGUACGGGACACAGCAGGGGCUGAGCUGGAGACUCCUGUACUCAGGUGUGGCCACCUGAGCUGGCAGGUCAGAGGUCUCUCCCAGGAGGCCUGAGAUCUGAAGGACUAAAAGAGGGAAAGGCAAGAAGGAACAGCACAUGUGGUGGCUCUGAGGCAGGAGCAUGUUGGUGUCGGGACCGACUUCAUGGGCUGUGCGACCUGUGUAGUUACAUGAGGUGAACUCUGUUGUUGUUGACCUGAAAUUCCUACCUUUUGAGUAAGGGGCUCUCUGGACUUCCAUUUUGCAGUGGUCUGCACAAAUUCUGUAACGGGUCCUGCUCUGUGUGUUUGAGAAGCUAAACGGAGGUCCGGAGGUGGUCUCUUACUCUCUUGGUGUGUCUGUCUCCACAUUUUAUCUUCUCUUUUGUUUUUUUGUUCCCCAGCCCUGCCUGCAUUUUUUCUGUAUGUGACUGUGUGUCUGUGCGUGUGAUCGAACCAUAAGGCUUCCUGGUAUUUAUUUCACUUAUGCAUUGCAGAAACAUUUGCGAUUGCAGGAGGUAAAUAUGUAUCAAAGACAUGAGUUUUAGUGUCCGAAGAAUUUUUUUUUUUUUUUUUUGAGUUGGAGACGGAAUCUUGCUCUGUCGCCCGUGCUGGAGUGCAGUGGCUCCCAGCAGCUUCCACCUCCCAGGUUCAAGUGAUUCUCCUGCCUCAGCCCGCUACCACACCCAGCUAAUUUUUGUAUGUUUAGUAGAGAUGGGGUUUUACCAUGUUGGCUAGGCUGGUCCUGAACUCCUAACCUCAGGUGAUCCGCCUACCUCAGCCUCCCAAAGUGCUGGGAUCACAGGCAUGAGCCACUGCGCCCGGCCUAGUGCCUGAAGGAUAUCUUAUCAAGACAUGUCUUUUAGCUGUCCUCCCGCUAUGGGGCGUUUCUUUUCUCUUUGUGUUUUUGCCAUUUCUGAGUCUCACUGCUGUGGUUUGGGGGUGGGCAGGGCCCUGGAGUUAGAGGGAGCAGGGCCUGGUGUCUGUUGCCACCAUCGAUUGGUGAUGUCUGCCUAAACGCUGUGUUGCGUCUGUUGAGGAUGUCUGCCCUGGGAGAGCAAUGGGCAUGCUGGAAGCAGGUGUGGUCACCAUCUCUGCUCUUGGGGUGUCAAAGCAAGGCUGGGAUGGACAUUUGUCGAAGGAGUGGGGGAUAGACACAACCCCCACAAAAGGCAGAUCGUGCAGUCGACGCCUAGCCCCAAGAGGGGAAGGAUCAUUUGAGGUCAGGAGUUCAAGACCAGCCUGGCCAACAUGGUGGCCAACAUGGUGAAACCCUGUCUCUACUAAAAAUACAAAAAUUAGCCAGGCGGUAGUGGCGUGCCUGUGAUCCCAGCUACUCAGGAGACUGAGGCAGGAGAACAUGUUGCACAGGGAGCUUUUGUUAAGGGUCCCUGUGUGGCUCAGAGUUCCAGGAACGGGUGUGGGCCCUGAUAAAACCCCAGACUCAUGGCUCAGUGAAGUUGCACAGCUGGACAAGCCUGGAGACCCUCAAAUAACUUGCCCAGGCUACCCUGGCUUGCAAAGGGCCAUUGCUCAUCCAGGAGUGGACGGUGCCUGGCAUGCAGUGGGUGCCCAGUGUUCACCUGCCACGUCCACUGUCCAUGCACUUAUUACCGUCAUGCUGUCACCAUGACCAGCGCCUUAGGUGCUGUGGCUGGUGCCAGGCCCGUGAGAGCCGGGGCAGGUUCGCUCAGGGUCCAGAUUUGCCUGCAUUGUCCCAGAGUCCUCCCACACCCGGGGGAGUGGGCUGUCAUUGGGAGCCAGUAAGGGGGUGUUGAUUUCUUUUCCAACCAGUAGAGGCAGGGGCCAUAGACUUAGGUGGAACCGCUGGCUCUUUGCUGGCUCCCAGGGUUCUGACAGCUGGGUCUUCUGAGCCCUGGGGACUGGCUGCCUGUGGCUGAGCCCUUCAAGGGCAUUGCGCUCCUUCUGCAAAUGUCACUCCCAGUCUCCAUGUCCAGGCCCAAAGCAGCCCCGGGGAGUCCUCAGGGCUCAUUUUCCUGCAAGGGGGUGGGUGGGGGUCAGCUGGGGCAGGCCCUGUGGUGAUUAGAAGAGGCUGCCUGCGCCCACAGAAGGUGGGUGGGCUACUCAGAGAAGGAGGCCCCUGCAGGCUGGCAGGGGGCCUGGUGGCUCUGGCCCCAGCCCUGGUGGUUCUGUGGCAUGGAGCUGACACCACAGACACCUGUGAGGUUGGACCGCUGGACUAGCAGCACGCCCUGCCCUUCCUGUUGGAAGCUUGUCCAGUCCAGAGCUGUCAGGGCCACAGGGGCUGAGCAUGCAGCUCCACACUCCCUGGAGACUCCGCCAUCAAGGGUCAGCUUUGUCUGGUCUUGUGGAAACUGUUUUUGCCCCCAGCCGUGAGAGGCACUUUUACACAUAACUGAGUCGGAGCAUGACAGGCAUGUAGGAGAGAAACAUUUUGUGUCAUUUAGAGGCCCUGCCUGGGUGGGACUCUGGCUGGGAACAUCCACAUGCAGCCAGUGCGGGGACUGGUUUACUCUGAGCCUCAAUCUUUCUGCUUUGGCUCCAGAUGCUGUGUUUGGGUGUUCUGUCAAAGAGAGAACAAUGCUCCUCGAUGAGACAGAAGGAUGCAACCGGGAGUCUUGUUUUGCAUGAGGAUGUGAGCGUUUCAAUUCACUUUUUUUGUAAACAUGGUUCCCCAGCCUGGCCUCAGGGGUGCCUGGAGAUGGGCCCCACGGGGCUUCCGGUUAAUUAAGCGGGCAGUGCUGGACAUGGAUGCUGGCUUCUCUGUCUCCCUGCCCUGGACCCUUUUGAAGCUGAAGUGUUCCAGGGGCAGCUGGUAUGGAAAAGGGGAAAUAGAGUUUUCUAGAGGUUUUAGAGUUGAGUAGAAACCUAGACUCUUCUCAGAAGCAUUUCAAGGGUUUGUCACCAAGGUGGCUCUCUGCAAAUUUGAGGUGGUUCUAGAAGAUCUUUCCAUAUUUCUUAAUCCAGAGGGAGAUGGAGAUGGGUGAGAAAUGGCUUUGUCCAUGAGGAACUCAUGUUCUGGUUGGAGGACAGGCGGAGCCUGGCAUUGAAGUUGGUGAGUCAGAGACGGAUCUGUGGGUGGGGCCAGAAUGGGGCUUGGGCUUCAGACCUCACAAAGCAGACCACAUGGCAGCCUGGGGCGUUAGUAUCCAAACGUCCUGCCCUCCAGGUUUUAUUCCUUGCCAUAAAAUAUCACAUUAAAGGAAAACGUUUUGUUAAAAGACCACAGUCCUGUCACCUGAGCACAGUAGCUGUUCUCUGUUCCUCUUUGGCCUUCCAAGCGGCAGGCGCCCGUUUGUGUUGCGGCUGUGUGCCUGGCGGGCAUGAAUUAACUGUGCAGCAUGGCUGCGGACGGUGAGGUGAGGUGAAGACGCCUCACCUCACCUCGAUUCGACUGAAAACCGUGUGGAGAUAGAAGCUGCUCACACAGGGGCAACAUGAAGAAAAUGUGAAAUUCUGUUGCUUGUUGUAGCUGACAGCACGACUCUGAGGUCCCGGUGGGCAGAGGCCUCGUGCAGGGCACCUCACCAGCCGGAUGUCAGAGCUUGCCGGAAGGCGCAGUGCCCGUGGAGGGCUGCCAGUGCCCAGGGAGCCUUCCGAGGUGUCACGUUGGGCAGUGGAAUUCAGAGUCAGGCAGAGGAGGCCCUGGGGUCACACGCGGAUCUCCUGGCUGUGGGUUGGUGAGGUCCAGUGUCCGGGGGUGAAGGAUAGAGGCCGUGUGGUGAGGGCUCCGGAGCUGGCCCUGGGGUGGCAGAAAUGCAGAUAACGAAGGAGGGUGUGCUGGUGGGACUUGUGCCUGUUCCGGAGGGAGGCAUUGGGAGUGACGUUUAGGCUGAGAGGAUUCAGGAUGGAGGACAUGGCUUAGUUUGUAGUUGGGAGCCUGCCGAGGACUGUGGUGAUGAGGAAAUGCGGUGUCAGGCAGACCCAGGACUUGGAGCACCUAGUUCCACUUGCGGGCUGGCUUUCUGUUUUUGGUCAUUGUGUUGGGACCUUGUGAAAGUGACUUAACCUCUCGGUGCCUCAGUUUCCCCAUUGGUAAAAGGGGUGAUUAUGCUCCCCACUACACAGGGUUUGGAGGAUGGCCGUGCGGGCCGUGCCGAGCAGCGCGAUGGUGCAGGCCGUCUGGGUCAGUGCUGAGAGAGCGAGUGUUCCUUCGACGGUUGCAAUCAGAGGUAGCUUCCAAGGCUGGGUGCUGCCAGGAGGAGCUGGGGAGGCUGAUGGGGCAAUGGGGAGCACAGCUCACACUGCUGGCAGGCAGCCUGGGGAGGACAGAGGGGGCUGUGCUGGGCGCUCCAGGCAUGUGGUUCCCUUUCCUGUGGGGCGAAGACCAGCAUGGGGGCAGGGCCCAGCUGUGUCAGGACCACUCAGACUCUUAUGACACAUCCAGAGUCCCUAGCCCCACCCCAACCCACCCAGUCCACGAGAAGGAACAGGGUGGGGAGGUGGGGCCCAAAUCUGCGAGUUCCCAAGGGAGGCCUGUGUGCAGUAAGUUGUCGGGGGCGGCGCUGGCACAGCUGGAAACAUCUUGGGGUUUGAAGCCAGAGCCUCAGGUGAGACUCAAGGGUCCCUGGGACUCUCUUCUGGGUGUCUGACCGUUUAUGCUUCGUGGAGUUAGAGGCGAAGACAUUUCUGUGAUGUCUUGAAUUCUGCUUUUUCCUGAUUUUGAGCAAAUGAAAGCCAGCCUGGUGUAGGCAGUCGGGUGCCUUCCCCAAGUAAGGGGCUGAGAGGGUGGUCAUGCCGGGACCCAGGGGACAGGGAGUAGCAUUCCUAGGGGUGCACAGGCAGCCCCCUAGAGGCAGGGAUGUGUGGGGGUCCUUGUGCUGCUGUGUGCCUGCAGGGCGGCACUAUUCACAUGGCCCUGGAGCUGCAGGGUGAUUGCUGGCCCUGGGCUCUGUGUCCUGGCUCUCCCGCCCCUCCUGAAGUGGCCCCCAUGAGACAAGGCAGGUAUGUCCUGUGAGCAGCCCUCUGCUGCCCAGCGUGGCCAGGGCUCAGUGGGACCACGGCGGCUGCAAUGCUGCUCUCUGCAGCUCAGAGUCACUCUCAUCGCCAGCAGUCGAGUGCAGAGCCUGGGCCCCCCGGCCUCCCCAGCCCCUCCACACCACCCCAGGACCGAGGCAGCAGCUGGCUUCGGUUUCUGCCAUGUUUUUCCAAGUAUGUGGAAUGAGCUAAAAACAGCAGGAGUGGGGCCUUAUUUGGGAGUUGCCACUGCCGUCCUUGGAAGCUGCUGUCCCUCACUGCCACCCCUCCAGCCCCAUCCUCGGUGGAACAUGCCCCUGUUGCUUUGACUUUUGUCGCCCGAACAUCCCUCCUGGUUGGGGGCCUUUGGGCAGUGGGCUUAGUGGCGUGCGCCAUGCCACUUGGGCCACACGUGCCCAGGCUGGUGGCUCUCGGGGCCGUGUCCAGAGGGUGGCUAGGCUGUGCUCCCGGCAGUGCCCAGAUGAGGCUGGGGUGUGGCUUGGGGAUUUGUGGGCCACCGGCCACAGCUCACCCAGCAGAGUUUUAACAGAUGUUCGUCUGUCAAGUUUGCUCCCAGCUGUGUUGUCUGAGGCAGGCUGCCUUCCCAUAGCGGCGGCAGAGCUGAAGAGAUGGGAAGGAGACUGUGUAGGCCGCAGCACCGAACAUAUUUGCUCUCUGGCCCUUCCUAGAGUGCUUGCUGACCUCUGUCCGACAGCUGGAAGGAAGGAUAGGACCCGUCCUACGAUAACCACUAUUGACAUUUGAGCGCAUUUCCUUCCCGGCUUUUGUGUGAAGGUGGCAGUCUCUUUGCUUUUGUGGUUGGGAUCUGCUGCAGGCACGGCGGGCUGUUUGCCUGAGGCUUCCUGGAGGACAGGGCUGGGCUCGGAGCUGCACCAGCAUCCUGCACGCACUGGGGCCUCAGCAGAGAGCCGUGGCGGGCGGGGCAACGUCAAUGCUGGUGGGCGCUGGGCCUCCACGUUCAGAUCAGCCCUGGCGAUAGGUUCGGGCCACCCUCUCUCUGGCCUCCGUGCAGUGGCCCAGGCCGCCCCCCUGCCUGGCACACUUGCCUCUGGCUUUCCACUGAAGCGCUCCUCUUACCCGCCGCUCCCCACUGGGUAUGGGUCCAGUCGUGUCCCUGAAGGAGAUAUGCUGACGUCUGGAACCUGUGUCUGUGACCUAAUUUGGAAACAGGGUCUUGGCAGAUGUAAUCAAGCAAGGACAAGGUCACCCUGGAGUAGGGGGCCUAUAUCCACGGUGCUGGUGUCCUCAUGAGAGCAGGAGAGCAGACACUGACACUCGGGUGAAGGCUGCAUGGAGUCAGAGCAGGGCUUGGUGUGAUGGCGGCCACAAGCCAAGGAACCCCAGGUAUUUCCUGCAACUCCAGAAGCUGGAAGAGGCCAGGAAGGAUCCUCCCCUGGCGCCUUCAGAGAGAGUCUGUCCCUGAAGAUGUCUUGACAUUUGACUUCUGGGUUGCAGGUCUUGGCGGCGGGGUACAUUUCUGAUGUUAGAAGCCACCUGGUUGGCGGCGAUGUGUCACUGCAGCCCCCCACAGGUUCUGGGUGUCCAUGUGGUCGGGGGCAGAGGUGGGCAGGGACAGACAUGUCCAUGACACUGGCCCAUCCCUUAGGACUGCUUUUUGAGGACAAGGCUGCUUACCAGGAAGUUGUACCCUGCCUGGCCCUUGCCCCUGCCCUGUGCUUGGCUCGUGGAAGGGAUGUGGCCCUUCUCUCCUGCAUGCGUGCAAGGAGGAAGGGAGAGGUCAGAAACCCGCCUGGAGGAGGCUCGGGCGAGGGGAAGGUUUCACUUUCCGGCAACAUUGUGGGGCUGGCUGUUUGUUUAAACAACCCCAAAGAAAACCAUUUGGCCAAACUGUUAGUUUCCAAACAAUUUACUUCCUUGGUGUUUGAAAAACUCCUACCAAGGCUCUGUAGCUGGUCCCAGGGAAGGAGUUGGCCUCUCUUCUUUAUAGCCCAACACAGUCCCCUGCACCUGCCCCUCCCAACCCCAGGCCUGCUUACCUGUGGCCAUGGCUGCUGCCCGGACCUCACUACACACACAACCUCCUGGAGGCCAGCUGUGGGCACCAGCCUUGGCAGGCAUCUGGCAGAGCCCAGGCUGGUGGGACUCUCUCUGCAGCUGCUCCCUGCCAGCCUGGCUGGACAGAGUCCCCACCACACUGGGGUCACCUCUGUACUGCUCACAGCUCACUCAGACCUUCAGGCAAAUAGGUUGGGUCCUGGCUCUCUCCCAGGUGUCACAAUCUCUGCAAAAUUCAAAAACCUCAGGGGCCUUGUAGCCUGAGGCGUGUCAGAGACUCCUCCCUGGAGUCAGUAAACACCUACAGAUUCAUCCCAGCAGUGAAAGGACUGCUUCACCACAGAGGUUUGAUUUAUUCCUAAGUAAUUGGAUGGGAUGCCGAGAAUGGGUUCCUGAUGGUGGAACUGGAGGCCCUUUGCUGACCUAGUUAACAGAGGGCUAGGGCUGGGUGUGCUCAGUCCCUGAAGGUUCUAGGCCCAUUUGGGACGCCCCGCCAGAACCUGCCACAUGGUGACAGCUACCUAAAUCCCAGAGGCUCUUGAGCUGGAGAACAGACCUCUCAAUCUCAGCAGGUCCCCUGCACGUACCCCAUAACCCUAGCCUGCCUUCACAGUACAGUUUGUGGCUGUGUAUUCACGGAUGGUGUCGUUCACCUAAGGUCUCUGCCCUGUGACCCCAAGGGCGUCCAGAGGGCAGAUCCCAAGUCUGUUUCAUCCACCUCUCCUUCCCUAGCAGCUGGUCCAGGGCCUGGCCUGAAGUAGGUUCCUACAGAGAUACUGGUGGGAUGAUGGAGGCAGCCAGGCAUCAAGUGACAAACGCGCUUCCUGGAUGUGCUGGCUCCUGGGAUUGAAGUAUUUGAGGAAGCGAAGUGAAGUGAGCUUUCCUCUUGCAGCUGUGUGUCCUUGGGCCGGGAGCCUACCCUCUCUGAGGAUUGGGGUCCUUGUCAGUAGGAUGGGGCAUCCUCAUAGCUCGAGGGGUAGUGUGUGAAAAUUGUGUUAAUGAUUUUUUUUUUUUUUUGAGACGGAGUCUCACUCCAGUGCACAGGCUGGAGUGUAGUGGCACGAUCUCAGCUUACUGCAACCUCUGCCUCCUGGGUUCAAGUGAUUCUCCUGCCUCAGCCUCCUGAGUAGCUGGGGUUACAGGAGUGCGCCACCAAGCCCAGCAUAGUUUUGUAUUUUUAGUAGGGUUUUGCCAUGUUGGCCAGGCUGGUCUUGAACUCUUGACCUCAGGUGAUCCACCUGCCUAGGCCUCCCAAAGUGCUGGGAUUACAGGCGUGAGCCACUGCGCCUAGCGUACUUUAGUGAUUUCUUAGGACGACGGAGGGAACUAGCUAGCAAGGCAGGCUUGGAAUGUGUUUUGGGAUCAAAUGCCGGUUUCUGUCUGGCACUGGCGUUCUCUGUGGGGCCAUGAUGGACACACUGCUGAGGUCAAGCGUGAUUCGUCUCACGCUGUGCCUGGCAGUCUCGUUGGAAAGUUCUGUAGACACCGUGUGGACAGGGCUCUUCCCAGCCAAGCCCUGGAGGACUUCCAGGACUGUGAUCUCCCCACCGUGGCUGAUUAAGCAGGGACCCUUCGUGGAGUCUAUGGUCCCCUCUAAGUCAUAGCUAGACAGGGACUCAGGCACCAUCAGCCCUGGCUGUUAUUCACUGUGGAUGAGGAGACAGGCCCAGAGAGGGGCAGGAACCUGCCCGAGGUCACCAAGCACGGGCAGGCCCCAGAGGUUUCGGUCUCAGAUUCUCCCUGCUCAUCCCUGGAUGUAGCGCUGCUGUGGACGUGGGGCUGUGCUAGGGGCUGUGGAGAGCAGAGGGCUUCUGCCAGGACCCCAGUGAGCCAGUAGGGGUGGUGCCUUGGCCAUGGGGCAGACUGGGGGUACGGGACAGCCAUCCACCGGGGUGUGGGGAGGAACAGCUUCCCUGAGGAGGCGGUGCCGUGUGACCUGGGCCUUGAAGGACAGGUCCAAUGUCAACAGAACAUUUUGGGAGUGGAGCCUAGAGGGAGAAAACUUGUUGAAAUUCAGAGAUCCCCCUCCCCCUACCAAUACACACCAAAUCAGACGCCUCUGACCAGAUCUGAAUUUGGCUCUCAGAGAUUUCCAUUGUAGCCAGGCAGUUGGGGCACUUUCUGAGUGCUGCCUCCACCUCACUGUCCCCAGCCUGCCUGCCUCCGUUUCCCUAGCCCUGGGCCUGUGCCGCUGUCACCAUCACCUGGGCGCCCUCUAGUGGAUGAAUCGGAUUAUGCACGAGGGGGCUUGGAGCAGGAUUCAGAAGGGGCUCCUGUCCUUCCUUGAAAUGCUGGACGCCGGGAUCCUGGAACAGCUCUUCAGGUCUCUGCAUUCCUCCUGGCAACAGCCAGAGCCUGGGCGCAGGGGGCUACUGUUGUUUGAAGGCUGAAGGCUGCAGCCUGGUAGGGCACUCAGGAGACCUGGCAGUUGGCUGCAGGGCCAGGUCUAGGGGCCAGGGCAUGAGGGAUGCUCUGGGCUGGCUCAGCCCCGGGCCCCCAUGCGGAUUGUGACUGUGGGGGCAUGGCCACAUGAUGUUGAGGGGGGAUCUCUGACCCUGACCUUCUUGGCUCUGUGCAUCCUUGAAACCAGAAAGGUCUGGAACAAAUCAGUGAACAAUGCCCUAACUCGGGGAGGGAGCCACAUCCUGACCCCAGCAGCCUCAGAAGGAUCCGUGUCAGGGUUAUGGGGCACCCUGGGGGCCCCGAGUCUGCAUGGGUCUCCACAUGCAACUUCUGCCGGAAACUCUGAAAAAUCCCAACUGGGGGGUCAUAGGACACAAUCAGAAAUGCUGAUGCCACUGUGUGUGGAUCCCCGGGCCCUGGGGGGUCAGGAGCAUGUAGAAGGUGGGCCACAGGGGGUUCAUAAGAGAAUCCUGUAACCGCCCCUGCCCCCCAAACUUAGAAGCCCACUGGAGGGCCAUGGGUGAAAGCUUGGGGGGGUGUCCUGUGGAGUGGGUGGUGGGGGGUCUUUGGGUUUACAUGCUGCUGGGCCUGAGCAGCAGGACCCCGUCCACAGCUGAUCCCUGGGCCCUGCUGCUCAGCUGCUCUCUUGAGUGUUGCUGUGGCUGCCGAGAGAGCCUGAGUCGAGCCUCUCUUGUGCCGGCCGUACGCUGUCAGGCCACGCUGGUGAGUUUGGCAAGGCACAGAUGCCCAGAGCAGAGAACUUUCCUUGGGGAUUUAAUAUGUGCGAAUCUUGAGGUCCGGCAAAUCUUUCCCUCAGCUAGAGAGGGGGUUUUUGAGACUAGAAUCACCUCAGCAUCCUCCUGUCCCCAGCUGUGUCCAGCCUGUCUGCAGGGACAUCCUGAGAGGACUAGGCUCUCCCCUCAUCCACCUGCGUAAGUGCCACCCUGAAGCCUGUCCACCCAUGCUUGGAGAGGCUUGGCCUCAACCUGCUUAGCCAGCAGCAGGCUUGGGCCUGGGGUGCAGCAGAGACCCAGGUGGCUGUGGGGUGGUUGCUUCAUGGGGUGGUUCUGAAACGCAGUUGGAAGUGCAUGGACAGUGCCUUACCUGUUCUCUGUGGGACCCUGUUUAGAAACCAGGUCUGAGUUACUGGGGGUCAUCGCUACAUUCUGAUGGCCUAGCUGUGUGGAGGCCACGGUGGAGCCCCAUCCAAGGAGCCAGGGCCCUGGGUCUAGCCGUGACCAGAACGCAUGCCCUGGAGGUGUUUCUCAUCUUGCACCUGUGUUGCCUGGUGUCUCAAGUGGCCACAAAACUGUGUUAGCUCUUGGUGCCCCUGGGCUUCGGAACCAGGGUUUCCCUUCAUCUCAGUGACCCGGGAGCAUCUGGGCAGUGAGUAAAGAGGGUGAUUUACUUGAUGGGUACGUUUGGUCCUGCCUGGGAGCCCCCCCAGGCACGGUCCUGGGACCUGAAGCUGCCCUCGUUGGUGGAGGGGAGGGAGAGAGCUUCAGGGAUGAGGUGGCGUUGAGCUGGGCGGGAAGGGUGAGCCCCUGCAAGGUGGGGUGGGUGUGCUGGGGACGCUGAGCAGCACGGCCAGCAGGUGGGUCUUCAGCUCGGUACCCGGUGGGACUUGUGGUUGGGGCUGGUGUGUGGCCAGGAGAGGGGCUGGCAGAAGACAAGGGGGACUGUGAGGCAGCUCCCAUCCAGCGGUUGAAGCCUGAUGGCCUGGCUCUGUGCCUCAGUUCUCUCAUCUAUAAAAUGAGAAAACAGUGCCAGCCUCCCAGACCUGUCAUGAGGAUGAACGAGUGACCACGUAGCAUGGGCUGGGUGCGUGUCACCUAACAUUACCAGCCUUUGCAAGGAGAGCCCUGGGGACCUGGCUGAGUUUUUCCCUUGCCUGGCCCACUGCACCUGUCCCCACAGGAGCCAAGGAGGUCCUGCUGCUGGCCCGGUAGACGGACCAAUGGAGGGUCUCGCUGGACACACCGGACUUCACCGACAUCGUGCUGCAGCUGGACGACAUCCAGCAUGCCAUCGCCAUCAACUAUGACCCAAUGGAGGGCCACGUCUACUGGACGGAUGACGAGGUGUGGGCCAUCCGCAGGGCAUACCUGGAUGGGUCUGGGGCGCAGACGCUGAUCAACACCAAGAUCAACGACCCCGAUGACAUCGCAGUCAACUGGGUGGCCCGAAGCCUCUAUUGGACCCACACAGGCACUGAACACAUCGAGGUGACGUGCCUCAACAGCACCUCCCACAAGAUCCUGGUGUCAGAGGACAUGGACGAGCCCCGUGCCAUUGCACUGCAUCCCGAGAUGGGCCUCACGUACUGGAUAGACUGGGGAGAGAACCCUGAAAUCAAGCGUGCCAACCUGGACAGGCAGGAGCUGCGCGUGCUGGUCAAUGCUUCCCUCGGGUGGCCCAACGGCCUGGCCCUGGACCUGCAGGAAGGGAAGCUCUACUGGGGAGAUGCCAAGACAGACAAGAUCGAGGCGAUCAGUGUCGAUGAGACGAAGAGGCAGACCCUCCUGAAGGACAAGCUCCCACACAUUUUCAGGUUCACCCUGCUGGGGGACUUCAUCUACUGGACCGCCUGGCAGCACCACAGCAUCAAGCGGGUACACAAGGUCAAGGCCAACCGGGACGUCAUCAUUGACCAGCUGCCCGACCUGAUGGGGCUCAAAGCUGUGAACGUGGACAAGGUCGUCGGGCCUGGAACUGCUGAGUGACAUGAAGACCUGCAUCAUGCCCAAGGCCUUCUUGGUCUUCACCAGUAGAGCCGCCAUCCACAGGAUCUCCCUCGAGACCAACAACAACGAUGUGGCCAUCCUGCUCUCGGCGUCAAGGAGGCCUCGGCCCUGGACUUUGAUGUGUCCAGCAACCACAUCUACUGGACAGACAUCAGCCUGAAGGUAGCGUGGGCCCGAACAUGCACACGUGCAGCCUAUAUGGGAAAACCUUCCCUCUGUACCUGCCUCAAAGGUUUCAGACAUUUUUCUUAAAGCACUAUAAUAUUUAUUGUAACACAAUUCAAGCUAAUUAAAUAUGAGCAAGCCUAUUUCAAAAAAAAUAGACGAUUAUAAUGAGCAAAUCCGGUAGACACACA